GACGAACGCUGGCGGCGUGUUUAACACAUGCAAGUCGAACGGAAAGGCCCCUUUGGGGGUACUCGAGUGGCGAACGGGUGAGUAACACGUGAGUAACCUGCCCUUGACUUCGGGAUAACUUCAGGAAACUGGGGCUAAUACCGGAUAGGAAUCCUUGCUGCAUGGUGGGGGUUGGAAAGCUUCGGCGGUUUUGGAUGGACUCGCGGCUUAUCAGCUUGUUGGUGGGGUAGUGGCUUACCAAGGCUUUGACGGGUAGCCGGCCUGAGAGGGCGACCGGCCACAUUGGGACUGAGAUACGGCCCAGACUCCUACGGGAGGCAGCAGUGGGGAAUAUUGCACAAUGGGCGGAAGCCUGAUGCAGCAACGCCGCGUGCGGGAUGACGGCCUUCGGGUUGUAAACCGCUUUCAGCAGGGGCGAAGCUUGUGGUGACGGUACCUGCAGAAGAAGCACCGGCUAACUACGU
rnacentral:rRNA from 1 species